GGUGAACGCUGGCGGCGUGCUUAAGACAUGCAAGUCGAACGGCAGUCUUCGGACUGUAGUGGCGCACGGGUGAGUAACGCGUAACUGACCUACCCAAAGGCGCCGAUAACGGUUCGAAAGAAUCGCUAAUACGUGAUGUGCUGUCAGAUUGUGUUCUGCCAGUAAAGAUUGAUUGCCUUGGGAUGGGGUUGCGUUCCAUCAGCUAGUUGGUGGGGUAAAGGCCCACCAAGGCGACGACGGAUAGCCGGCCUGAGAGGGUGGCCGGCCACAGGGGCACUGAGACACGGGUCCCACUCCUACGGGAGGCAGCAGUUAGGAAUCUUCCACAAUGGGCGAAAGCCUGAUGGAGCGACGCCGCGUGAGGGAUGAAGGUCUUCGGAUCGUAAACCUCUGAAUCAGGGACGAAAGACACUUCGGUGGGAUGACGGUACCUGAGUAAUAGCACCGGCUAACUCUGUGUCAGCAGCCGCCGUAACAC
rnacentral:rRNA from 1 species